GAUGAAGAACGUAGCGAAAUGCGAUAAGUAAUGUGAAUUGCAGAAUUCAGUGAAUCAUCGAAUCUUUGAACGCACAUUGCGCCCCUUGGUAUUCCAUGGGGCAUGCCUGUUCGAGCGUCAUUUGUACCUUCAAGCUCUGCUUGGUGUUGGGUGUUUGUCUCGCCUCUGCGUGUAGACUCGCCUCAAAACAAUUGGCAGCCGGCGUAUUGAUUUCGGAGCGCAGUACAUCUCGCGCUUUGCACUCAUAACGACGACGUCCAAAAGUACAUUUUUACACUCUUGACCUCGGAUCAGGUAGGGAUACCCGCUGAACUUAAGCAUAUCAAUAAGCGGAGGA
rnacentral:misc_RNA from 1 species